GGAUGUGAGGGCAGUCUGUGACAUCUGUCACCCCGUUGUUCUGGCUGAUCUGGCUCCCUAGGUAGGUGUCUCCUUCCUCCCUCACCACUCUGUGUCUGUCCCUCCUGAAGCUAUGUGCUCGGUCAAAGAGGACAACCUUCUCCGACAGAGGAGGACUGUUUUUCAGUCAAGGGUAUGUGAGUAGCUGUGCUCCCCAGCUAGAACCUGCAGACAAGCUCUCAAGGUCUAGUCGUAGGAGAACGUAGGGCAGUCAAGCUUCCAAGACUCUAGACACAUACAAAUGAAGUGUUGAAUGUGGCAGUCUGCUUUUUGAU
ensembl:misc_RNA 7SK 7SK RNA